rfam:Rattus norvegicus chromosome 19, whole genome shotgun sequence.
GGAUUUGGCUCAGUGGUAGAGCGCUUGCCUAGCAAGCGCAAGGCCCUGGGUUCGGUCCCCAGAUCCG